GAUGACGAGGUGGUAGGGGGGGGGGUAAUACGUGGGGGGGGAGUGGUGUGCGGAAUUAGUGGGCGUAAAGCGGGUGUAGGGGGUGUGUUGCGUCUGCUGGGAAAAUCCGGGGCGCAACCCCGGACUUGGAGUGGGUACGGGAAGACGAGAGUGUGGUAGGGGAGACUGGAAUUCCUGGUGUAGCGGUGAAAUGCGCAGAUAUCAGGAGGAACACCGAUGGCGAAGGCAGGUCUCUGGGCCACUACUGACGCUGAGAAGCGAAAGCGUGGGGAGCGAACAGGAUUAGAUACCCGAGUAGUC
rnacentral:rRNA from 1 species